rnacentral:rRNA from 1 species
UACGAAGGGUGCUAGCGUUGUACGGAAUUACUGGGCGUAAAGCGCGCGUAGGCGGCUAUUCAAGUCAGGGGUGAAAUCCUUGGGCUCAACCCAAGAAUUGCCUUUGAAACUGUAUAGCUAGAGUGUCGGAGGGGAUAGCGGAAUUCCUAAUGUAGAGGUGAAAUUCGUAGAUAUUAGGAGGAACACCGGUGGCGAAGGCGGCUAUCUGGACGACAACUGACGCUGAGGCGCGAAAGCACGGGGAUCAAACAGG